GGAUUAGAUACCCUGGUAGUCCACGCCGUAAACGAUGUCUACUAGCCGUUGGGGGGCAUGUCCCCUUAGUGGCGCAGCUAACGCAUUAAGUAGACCGCCUGGGGAGUACGGCCGCAAGGCUAAAACUCAAAGGAAUUGACGGGGGCCCGCACAAGCGGUGGAGCAUGUGGUUUAAUUCGAUGCAACGCGAAGAACCUUACCUACCCUUGACAUUGACAGAAUCCUGUAGAGAUACGGGAGUGCUUCGGCCUGGAAAACAGGUGCUGCAUGGCUGUCGUCAGCUCGUGCCG
rnacentral:rRNA from 1 species